rnacentral:rRNA from 1 species
AGCGAACGCUGGCGGCAGGCCUAACACAUGCAAGUCGAACGAACUCUUCGGAGUUAGUGGCGGACGGGUGAGUAACACGUGGGAACGUGCCUUUUGGUUCGGAAUAACUCAGGGAAACUUGUGCUAAUACCGAAUGUGCCCUUCGGGGGAAAGAUUUAUCGCCAUCAGAGCGGCCCGCGUCUGAUUAGCUAGUUGGUGAGGUAACGGCUCACCAAGGCGACGAUCAGUAGCUGGUCUGAGAGGAUGACCAGCCACACUGGGACUGAGACACGGCCCAGACUCCUACGGGAGGCAGCAGUGGGGAAUCUUGCGCAAUGGGCGAAAGCCUGACGCAGCCAUGCCGCGUGAAUGAUGAAGGUCUUAGGAUUGUAAAAUUCUUUCACCGGGGACGAUAAUGACGGUACCCGGAGAAGAAGCCCCGGCUAACUUCGUG